rnacentral:rRNA from 1 species
UCCUACGGGAGGCAGCAGUGGGGAAUAUUGGACAAUGGGCGCAAGCCUGAUCCAGCAAUGCCGCGUGAGUGAGGAAGGCCUUAGGGUUGUAAAGCUCUUUCGCACGCGACGAUGAUGACGGUAGCGUGAGAAGAAGCCCCGGCUAACUUCGUGCCAGCAGCCGCGGUA